UGUGCACCCCACACCUGGGGCCUAAUUAUACUGUUGCUAAGGUGAUAGUUGUGGUGUUUGAUGCCAGAGAUGUUCACCUAAAACAGGGCCAUUUCUAUUUCUGUCUGUUCUCUCUCUCUCUCUCUCUCUAUUCUCUCUCUCUCUCUCUAUUAUCUCCUGUCUCUCUAAUCUUGUGUUUUUCUGUCUGCUUUGACCCGGUCUCCUCUCACUUUUUUUUUCUCUGCUCUUGCUCUCUAGCUUUUCCCUCUCUCCUGCUCUUACCCUUUUCUCUCUCCUUUACCGACUUAUUCUCGCUGUUUAUAGGGAGUAUCUAUAAAUGUAACUGAUUAUGCAGUAGCUCAUGUCUCUGUGUGUGUCUCCAGGGCCAAUGGAGUCUCAUUAAGUAGGUGUCAAUAACUGGGGAAAUUAUUCCCAGUAUGCAGAGUACGGUCUGUUUGUGCCACAUGGCCAGAUACGCUUGUUGGCAUGUCCCCCUUUACCAGGCAUGUUUUUUUGGUUUGUACAGAUGGGCUUGUUGGCACUACCAGCUUGACCAUAGUACUACAGAUAACAGACUACUACUAAGAGGCUAGAACUGUCUAGAGAGAGAGAGAGAGAGAGAAAAAAAAAAACUGAUUGACCAACUUCAACAGACCGUCAAGAACCCAGGAAAUGACCAGCUCAACCCACCUUAUGGUCUAAACUGGUUUGGGCAUAAUUUUUUUAACAUGGACUUUUCUGGAGAUUUGCCACAUUUGCAAAAAGAGCAAAACAAAUGUGUGUCUUUUUCUACGUUCUUUAAACAGGGCAGUUAUAUUCUGACUCCAGCGUCGUCGUGAGAGCUCUUCCCACCCCCUCUCUCCGCAGGCUGCCGCCUCCUCACACCCCAGGCACCUGCUCACGGCACGCCGGCCUCGUGAGCGUCACUAGCUCCCACGCCCCCUCACCACACCGACGCGGCCCGGCGGAUCCGCGGCGGAACUUUUAUCCCGUUUUUAUUUAUUCCAUUUUUAUUUAUCUGCUUACUUGUUUAUUUAUUUUCCAUUCUCUCCUCAAGAGCAGUGCGGCCCCGGCUGUUGCCAUGGCAACAGUGGCUGAGCGGCGAGCAACCCUGAGUGUGAAGUAAUUUAUCAUUUUAAUGGGGAAUGUGUGUGUGUGUGUGUGUGUGUGUGUGUGUGCGCGUGUGUGUGUGACUGCAAGUGGGAGAGAGAGAGAGAGAGAAAGCCACAAGCACCGUCAUCUGGCUCAGGCCUCUCUGCUGUUCUGAAUGACUGUCGCAAUUCGUCUUUUAAUAUUAGAGAUGCUGCACUUAUCCACCUGUUUUAUCUACCUGGUGUUGCAGGCGACCCGCUGGAGCCCUGAAGUGGCCCGCUGAGGGCAGCGCUAUGAAAAGCCUGUUUUGUGCUGCUAUUUGGAAUGAAAUAGGUGAAGAGCUGCUGCUAUUUGGAAUGAAAUAGGUGAAGAGCUGCUGCUAUUUGGAAUGAAAUAGGUGAAGAGCUGCUGCUAUUUGGAAUGAAAUAGGUGAAGAGCUGCUGCUAUUUGGAAUGAAAUAGGUGAACUGGUCCUUUUUCACAUCUGCUUUGAGCACAGCUCACUGACAUUAUAGAGGGUUUGCUUCCCUCUUUGACUCUGUUCCUGAUGGGUUAGAAACAGCAAAUCAUAUGCUCUCAGAUGAUAGGUCUCUUUAAACUUGAAACUUUCCAAGCCUUAGUGGGGUGUCAGAGGAGCCAAUCCAAAGAUUAGCGUUAUUAAUUUAGUCUUAAUCAGAAAGGCAAUUAACCAGGCCUCACCAGGGGCUUUUACACUGAAACGUCGGUGACCUCUUUCCUGAAAUGCAUUCAGUCGGUUUGUCACUCUGAUUUGUCUCUCUCUUUCUCUGUGAAGUGGAGGAUCUGUCUCUCUCUCAUUCUCUGUGCGGUGGAGGAUCUGUCUGUCUCUCUUUCUCUGUGAAGUGGAGGAUCUGUCUCUCUCUUUCUCUGUGAAGUGGAGGAUCUGUGUAUCUCUCUUUCUUGGUGCAGUGGAGGAUCCGUCUGUCUGUCUUUCUCUCAGUGCAGUGGAAGAACGGUCUCUCUUUCUCUGUGAAGUGGAGGGUCUGUCUGUCGCUCAGUGAAGUGGAGGAUCUGUCUGUCUCUCAGUGAAGUGGAGGGUCUGUCUGUCGCUCAGUGAAGUGGAGGAUCUGUCUGUCGCUCAGUGAAGUGGAGGAUCUGUCUGUCUCUCAGUGAAGUGGAGGGUCUGUCUGUCGCUCAGUGAAGUGGAGGAUCUGUCUGUCUCUCUGUGAAGCCUAGAGAGAGGCGCAGGGAAACCUGCUGGUGAUUGAUGGCUGUGAUCAGCAGGUGAUUGAUGGCUGUGAUCAACAGGUGAUUAUCAACAAUGUGUGGAGGAACACUAAUGCUACCAACUCUUUUAAAAGCACACAGGACUCUUUCUUAUAGAUGUAACAAAACCAAGUUCAACAUGUACCCAGGACUCCCUGACUGGUAUACUGACAUGCAAGUGAUAGUAUUAAUGCACAGGCAGUGGGAGUGAAAUCCAACACACUGUUUAUUCCACCCAUCCAUCACAUAACGUAGUGAGCAGCUUAGCUGAUUCUGACGCGCAAGUCCGUCAAACCGCACCUCACAAUGAAGGUGAAGGCCACUUUCAUCAGAAUCAAAUAACCUUGGGAUGAGGUUGCAUUGCUCUGACUCUCUCUCACCUUGGAAUACACUGUUCAUUUUCCUCUUUGGAGAGCUAGGUUCAGGGUUCAGCGCUAAGUGAAGCUAAUACUGCGCUAAGGGAGGCUAAUUCUGCGCUAAGCGAUGCUAAUAAUGCGCUAAGCGAGGCUAAUACUGCGCUAAGCGAUGCUAAUACUGCGCUAAGCGAUGCUAGUACUGCGCUAAGGGAGGCUAAUACUGCGCUAAGGGAGCCUAAUACUGCGCUAAGCGUGGCUAAUACUGCGCUAAGGGAGGGCAUCUCUGUGGCGUGUUGCUCAUGCGGUCUCUUCCUGGUCUCUUCCUCUCCUAUCCUCUGCUCUGGUGCCAGUGUGGCCCUGAUUAAAGUUUCAAGAGCCUUAAUUGAGCUCCUAGACCCUUUUGAUCCUCAGCUGAAGGAGUGUUUAAGGUCACCUGACACACACACACACACACACACACACACACACUGAAAGCCCUUGUACAAAACACACAUCUCAAACUGUUCAAACUUUACACAGGGCUAAUGCGAAUGUUCAUGGGAAAAGGUCAGAUUGGACUAGAUAGAUACACAGAUAGAUAGAUAGAUGGAUAGAUAGAUACACGGAAAGAUAGUUGACCCAGGGGGAACAUAAAUCGUCGUAGCAGCCACAUACAUUCAAAUAAAAAUGUCAACAGAUACAUGGACAUAGUAUCUAAGAUGAACAAGCAGAGAGACUAAUGAAUGGAUUAGUGGGUAUAGUGACUGAUAGUCUGCUUAGAAAUAUGGUAAAAGGUACAGAUAAAGGCAUGAAGCGCUGAAGAUGAAUAACGUCCAGACAAUAUUGUGGUGCGCAAAGAGUGAAGUGAUUAGAGUAGUACAUUUAAAGGGUUAGUCCCAGUUUAAAGGGUUAGUCCCAGUUUAAAAGCAGCCUUCGCCACAGCACACCACAGCAUAGAAGAUGGCGCUCACAACAACAGGCUGAUGGAAUAUGUGGAACAUGUGGUCCAGAGGCUCUCAGGAUGUAAGGCUAGCUCAGGCCCUCCUUGUUGACGGCCGUUAUUGUGUGAGAGGUUAGUGCUGGCGGCCCUUCUUGGGUGCCGGCACCAGGUGUGAUACCAGGUGUUCCUUAGCACAAGUGGUGAGUAGCAUCGUCCCGACACCUACUUUACCAUAUAAUUUAACACUCUCCCGGUUCUCUGCUGUGAUUUAUGGUAGAACCGCAGGGGUGAAAAAGCCUUGGGCCCGAUAGCAGCCGUAUCCAAUGCAGCUUCUGACAGACACACAGCUCAUGAGAGGAGUACGAGAAGGGUUCCUCCAUUUGGAACCAGGUUCCCACCAGAUUAGAACCUUUGGUCAUUUUAUACAUUACACAGCCCUUGUUACAGUAUAGUAUAGUGUUGAGUAAAAUAUAGUCACAAAGAACUGAUCAUUCUAUUUAUAUUAGAGAUGGGAUACGAAUAGGGUUAAUCUUGUGUAAGAACAAAAGUAUCAAGUACUACACUGUUAAUUGCUGUGUUACAUUGUAGUUACAUUGAAGUAACAUUAUAGCAUGGGCUCUGUAAAAUGAACCGUAACAGAACUGAAUUGAAUUGUUCAUUUAGAUUUGUUUUUCAUUUGGUUAUAAACAUUAACCGUGGCUCUGCUAGUCCCUAUGUUCUUUUGUAGCCAGAUUCCAGCUUCUCUCCAGUCCUCUACUCCUACUCUAUAAGCUUCACAGCGCCUCCCUCUGAAGCCCCAGAAGCUCCUCUUCUCUCGCAAUCUGCAGCCGGAGAGAUAACCAGACUGCCCUGAAAUAAAAGAAGAGAGAGAGAGGAGAGAUAAGGAGUGCGAGGGAGAGAGAAAGUGAGUGAAAGUGAAAGACAGAGAGAAAGUGAACCGGAGACGAGACAUACUAGAAGAGUAGUCAGAAUGUGUGUUUAAAAGAGGGGAGAAGAGGCAGAUUAAGGAAAUAAAAUGAAGUGCAUUUAGACAGAAAGAAAAGGAGGAAAGAAACUUUUCCUGAACCUCUUUUCAAAGAGCAGAAGACAGACUGUCAGCAGUAAGUGAAAGAAAGUAGAGAGAAGGUGUGUAUGAAACAGACAGUGAGAUAAAGAGUGUGUGUGUGUGUGUGUGUGAAAGAGGGGGGUGGGGGGUGGUCGAGAGAGAGGCUUAUUCCCCGUUUUGAGGCACCCCCUAGGAUGACCGUUCCUGUGAUGUGUUGCCACGGUGAGCUGAGCUGAGAGGAACUUCCUGGUAGAGCCGGAAUGUUUACGCUGUGGGUGGAUUGCCCUCGGUUACCGCCUCUCCCAUUCUGCUCUAAUCUUUUCUCCAGCUGCUCCUGCUCUGGCAGCUGCAGCCAAAUCAAAGCCUCAACUCUGUAGCUCCAGCCUGAUACAUACACACAUGCACACACACACGCACACACACAAACACACACAACACACGUGCACACACACACACGCGCGCGCACAUAUGUACACACAUAAACACACACAACACACACACACACACACGCACACACACACACGCACACACACACACACACAUGCACACGCGCAAACACACACACAUGCACACACUCCUAGCACAGGGGCUGUGUGCUGGCUUCGUCUCCAUGAUGAAGAGGGCAAAUGCAGAAUGAUGUUGGGUAUCGUCUGAUGGAGCUCUCAGGGGCUGCAGACUGCUGAUGCAGCUGAAAUUCCACUGGCCUUGACAGAUCCGCACACACACAUGCACACACACACACACACACACACACACACACACACACACACACACACACACACGGAAAGACAACAAUAAUGUUCCUUCUUAUGAUUGGCUAAGCUGGAAACACACACCUUAACAGAUCCGCACACACUCACACCCCUGCAUCUCCUCCAUUACAUUUCCUGGCCUGUGACAUGUGCCUCAGGCAACAUGGAUUCUUUGGUCUGUGUGUCAACUGAUCUUUAAUGUAAAAUAGAUAAAUAAAAUCCCCUCUGAUUUCCUUCUCGAUUUGUAGUGUACAGUGAAGGCAGGAAAUCAGUGUGUGUGUAUUUUUGUAGUGUACAGUGAAGGCAGGAAACCAGUGUGUGUGUGUGUUUGUAGUGUACAUUGAAGGCAGGAAAUCAGUGUGUGUGUGUGUGUGUUUGUAGUGUUCAGUCAAGGCAAGAAAUCAGUGUGUGUGUGUGUGUGUGUCUCAGUGUUGUGCAUGAACGUGUUCAAAAGAACGCGUUCAUUGAACACGUUCAUUUUUAUGAGAACGAUGAACUGAACGCAACUUCAUGACAAAUAAUGAAUUUGAACGGUG
ensembl:lncRNA